rnacentral:rRNA from 1 species
GUCCACGCUGUAAACGAUGUCGAUUUGGAGGUUGUGGGCUUGACCCGUGGCUUCCGGAGCUAACGCGUUAAAUCGACCGCCUGGGGAGUACGGCCGCAAGGUUAAAACUCAAAUGAAUUGACGGGGGCCCCGCACAAGCGGUGGAGCAUGUGGUUUAAUUCGAUGCAACGCGAAGAACCUUACCUACUCUUGACAUCCAGAGAAUUCGCUAGAGAUAGCUUAGUGCCUUCGGGAACUCUGAGACAGGUGCUGCAUGGCUGUCGU